GACGAACGCUGGCGGCGUGCUUAACACAUUCAAGUCGAACGAAGAGCGAUGGAAGCUUGCUUCUAUCAAUCUUAGUGGCGAACGGGUGAGUAACGCGUAAUCAACCUGCCCUUCAGAGGGGGACAACAGUUGGAAACGACUGCUAAUACCGCAUACGAUCUAAUCUCGGCAUCGAGGAUAGAUGAAAGGUGGCCUCUACAUGUAAGCUAUCACUGAAGGAGGGGAUUGCGUCUGAUUAGCUAGUUGGAGGGGUAACGGCCCACCAAGGCGAUGAUCAGUAGCCGGUCUGAGAGGAUGAACGGCCACAUUGGGACUGAGACACGGCCCAGACUCCUACGGGAGGCAGCAGUGGGGAAUCUUCCGCAAUGGACGAAAGUCUGACGGAGCAACGCCGCGUGAGUGAUGACGGCCUUCGGGUUGUAAAGCUCUGUUAAUCGGGACGAAAGGCCUUCUUGCGAAUAGUGAGAAGGAUUGACGGUACCGGAAUAGAAAGCCACGGCUAACUACGUG
rnacentral:rRNA from 1 species